UUGUGUCAAGAAGCUUCCCACUUAGCUUGUGGACAAACCUCCCAUUCUCCAGUACUACCUCAUAAGCCUCCCUUUCAGUAGGACCAAGAUACUUUAUGCACUGUUGUUGAAGCUUUGAUCUAGGACACUUAUCAAGGUUGACUUCUUUCCCUUCUCCAAUAUCAAGCCAAUAGAAGAAAGGCUGUUUACUUUGACAGUGGAGCCACUUGACAUAAUAAAAUUGAAGAUUAUGACCAUAGCGGUGCCGAGGAUCAAUAGCUUCGAGCCAAUGCUGUAAAGCAAGCUUCCGAGCCUUUGCAUCCUUAGACAAACCUUUUCCUACCUUGGCAGCUCUUGCUCUUGCUCUUGACCAACGUGAAAUAGCAGUCUCUGGUUUCUCAAUGUCAAAGAAAGAUAUAGAGCUUCGCUUGAGUUCGGCAAAAUCAAGCAGCUUCCACCAUCUUUGCUCAACAACAACUGCACAAUCUGCCAGCUGCCUCCUGGUUCUGAAACUUUUGUACACUUUCUGCAAUUUUACAGCAGCUUGGUGUUUGGGGUUGGCAGGAUCAAAAUUUGGUGAUUUUU
rnacentral:misc_RNA from 1 species